AAUAAUGACAGGGAGAUUUAACUGAAUAAUGACAGGGUGACAAUGUGCAUGCUUAAAAUGCUGGAAAAGACAAGGUCUGUGUACAGUACAUUUCUUUUAAGAUUAAGUAAAUCAUUAGGAAAGCAAACACGAGAGCCAGAGCUCUGAAAUACCCCCACUCAAGCACAUCAUUCAUGAGAUGAGGUUACUAAAUAUGCUUUGGAGUCCCUGCUCCAAUCUAAAUUGAGAGAUGGGAAAGAAGUGGCUCCCCACAGCCUGUGUCUGGAAGCUAGACAAAAUGCUCCAUUUUCAACAGUCUCCAUACAGAACUUUCAAGGGGGGCAGGGUGAUCUUCGAUUCUCCAUACCAGGAAGAACUUUACUUCUCUGAACAACUUGGCUGUUUGUUGUCUUGUGACUCCCUGAAUGUUUGAGUUUACUGAGUAGUGUCAGAGCAGAGAUAGAAAACCAAGUGAUCCUUCAGGGUUGCAUCAUGGAGCUGCUCAUUAACAACUGGAAUGAACAAUGAUGGUUGGAUGAACUCAGCAGGUGGAAAGCUCCAUCAGGGUGACAAGAUGUCAGCUCUCCCUGGACAACUCAGCAUCACCUCUGUUCUUGAGAACAAAGGAGAGUCCUUUGAACCCUAACAUCAUACUCAGUCUUACCCUAGUCUGUUGAAUCAAGGAUGUGCCAGAUAACAAAGAGACGAUGGAUAAUCCUGGAGUAACUAAGAAUACUGAUUGAGGACUCCCAUUGAUGAGACAGAGAUUCCAAGUUAGCAUGCAUAGGGUAUAGUUACAUGAGCUGACAUCCCAUUCAAUGUGAAAUUGGGGAUGGACUGAGAAGCAACUUCUCAAAGUCAUAAGGCCACUCCAUAUCUGUUGGCAGCCGUUAACUCUUGCAAAUGACCCAUAUGGCUUCAAACUAGACAGAGGCCAGAGAACCAGUCACCAGUCACCUCAAAAAUGUUGAGAAAUAGGUCAAAGGCUGGUGUAUCUCAGUAGUAUCUUGUUUAGCAUGCUCAUGUUCUGGGAUUGAUACCUGCUACCACAUACAUAGGAAAAAAUGGCUAUAACCUAAACCUAUAAAACUACCUCCAUCUUUAAGCUAAGUCAACAAACUCAUGCAGACACU
rnacentral:lncRNA from 1 species